CGGAAUGGCGGGUGCUAUACAUGCAAGUCGAACGAACUCUGGUAUUGAUUGGUGCUUGCAUCAUGAUUUACAUUUGAGUGAGUGGCGAACUGGUGAGUAACACGUGGGAAACCUGCCCAGAAGCGGGGGAUAACACCUGGAAACAGAUGCUAAUACCGCAUAACAACUUGGACCGCAUGGUCCGAGUUUGAAAGAUGGCUUCGGCUAUCACUUUUGGAUGGUCCCGCGGCGUAUUAGCUAGAUGGUGAGGUAACGGCUCACCAUGGCAAUGAUACGUAGCCGACCUGAGAGGGUAAUCGGCCACAUUGGGACUGAGACACGGCCCAAACUCCUACGGGAGGCAGCAGUAGGGAAUCUUCCACAAUGGACGAAAGUCUGAUGGAGCAACGCCGCGUGAGUGAAGAAGGGUUUCGGCUCGUAAAACUCUGUUGUUAAAGAAGAACAUAUCUGAGAGUAACUGUUCAGGUAUUGACGGUAUUUAACCAGAAAGCCACGGCUAACUACGUGCCAGCAGCCGCGGUAAUACGUAGGUGGCAAGCGUUGUCCGGAUUUAUUGGGCGUAAAGCGAGCGCAGGCGGUUUUUUAAGUCUGAUGUGAAAGCCUUCGGCUCAACCGAAGAAGUGCAUCGGAAACUGGGAAACUUGAGUGCAGAAGAGGACAGUGGAACUCCAUGUGUAGCGGUGAAAUGCGUAGAUAUAUGGAAGAACACCAGUGGCGAAGGCGGCUGUCUGGUCUGUAACUGACGCUGAGGCUCGAAAGUAUGGGUAGCAAACAGGAUUAGAUACCCUGGUAGUCCAUACCGUAAACGAUGAAUGCUAAGUGUUGGAGGGUUUCCGCCCUUCAGUGCUGCAGCUAACGCAUUAAGCAUUCCGCCUGGGGAGUACGGCCGCAAGGCUGAAACUCAAAGGAAUUGACGGGGGCCCGCACAAGCGGUGGAGCAUGUGGUUUAAUUCGAAGCUACGCGAAGAACCUUACCAGGUCUUGACAUACUAUGCAAAUCUAAGAGAUUAGACGUUCCCUUCGGGGACAUGGAUACAGGUGGUGCAUGGUUGUCGUCAGCUCGUGUCGUGAGAUGUUGGGUUAAGUCCCGCAACGAGCGCAACCCUUAUUAUCAGUUGCCAGCAUUAAGUUGGGCACUCUGGUGAGACUGCCGGUGACAAACCGGAGGAAGGUGGGGAUGACGUCAAAUCAUCAUGCCCCUUAUGACCUGGGCUACACACGUGCUACAAUGGAUGGUACAACGAGUUGCGAACUCGCGAGAGUAAGCUAAUCUCUUAAAGCCAUUCUCAGUUCGGAUUGUAGGCUGCAACUCGCCUACAUGAAGUCGGAAUCGCUAGUAAUCGCGGAUCAGCAUGCCGCGGUGAAUACGUUCCCGGGCCUUGUACACACCGCCCGUCACACCAUGAGAGUUUGUAACACCCAAAGUCGGUGGGGUAACCUUUUAGGAACCAGCCGCCUUAAGGGGGGACCGGAAUUU
rnacentral:rRNA from 1 species